CCGGCCGUAUCACCUUGAAACACCAGUUCUCGUACGAUCACGGAAGUAAAGCAACGUCGAGCUUGGUCAGUAACUAGAUGGGUGACCGCUUCUAAAUACCACGUGCUGUAA